AACGAACGCUGGCGGCAGGCCUAACACAUGCAAGUCGAGCGAAGCCUUCGGGCUUAGCGGCGGACGGGUGAGUAACGCGUGGGAACGUGCCCUUUGCUACGGAAUAGCCCCGGGAAACUGGGAGUAAUACCGUAUGUGCCCUUCGGGGGAAAGAUUUAUCGGCAAAGGAUCGGCCCGCGUUGGAUUAGGUAGUUGGUGGGGUAAUGGCCUACCAAGCCGACGAUCCAUAGCUGGUUUGAGAGGAUGAUCAGCCACACUGGGACUGAGACACGGCCCAGACUCCUACGGGAGGCAGCAGUGGGGAAUCUUAGACAAUGGGGGAAACCCUGAUCUAGCCAUGCCGCGUGAUCGAUGAAGGCCUUAGGGUUGUAAAGAUCUUUCAGUGGGGAAGAUAAUGACUGUACCCACAGAAGAAGCCCCGGCUAACUCCGUGCCAGCAGCCGCGGUAAAAC
rnacentral:rRNA from 1 species